AUGCCAUCUCACAUUAGUGAUACUCACAUUGCAUUGAUUCCUAAAAAGUUAGUUCCACAAAUUCCUUCUGACUAUAGACCGAUAAGCCUUUGCAAUGUCAUCUAUAAGAUCAUUUCCAAAACCUUGGCUAAUAGAAUUAAAUCUCACCUCCCUGACUAUAUCGAUCCAUCUCAACAAGCGUUCAUUGAAGGUAGACGUAUAUCCAACAAUAUCAUUCUAGCCCAAGAAAUCACUCAUCCUUUUGCCCUUAAAUUUUUUAAACAUGAAGCUUUCUUGCUCAAAAUUGACCUUGCUAAAGCUUUUGAUCGCCUUGAAUGGAACUUUAUUGUCUCAGCUCUUGCUCGUAAAGGGUUGCAUGGUCAUUUCAUAAAUUUGGUCUAUGCUUGUAUCUCUUCUCCGAAAUUUUCUGUCUUCAUCAAUGGUCAACCCUUUGCGCAUUUUAGUAGUAACAGAUGUAUUAGACAGGGAUGUCCUUUAUCUCCAUAUUUUGUUCUUGCUAUUAAUGAGCUUUCCUUAAGUUUGCAUCAGUCCAUGAUUCAAAAUCGCUUGUCUGGUAUCUCUCUCGGUCCAAACUGCCCCCCAAUUCACUCCAUGCUCUUUGCCGAUGAUUUGUUAGUCUGUGGCAAGGCCACGGUGCCAGAAGCGAUUCAGAUGGUCCAUCUUAUUAACCAUUUCUGCAGCCGCUCUGCCCAGACCCCGAACUGGGACAAAUCUUCUGUUCUUUUUAGUGCAAAUGUUUCCUGA
rnacentral:rRNA from 1 species